GCGAGAACCAGACCUUCGGGUCUGGGGACAGCGGCGAACGGGUGAGUAACACGUGGGUAAUCAACCCUCGGUACUGGGAUAGCCCGGGGAAACCCGGAUUAAUACCGGAUGGCCCUUCGGAUCUUCGGUUCCGAAGGAAAAGGUAGCUUCGGCCUCCGACCGAGGACGAGCCCGCGGCGGAUUAGCUUGUUGGUGGGGUAAUGGCCUACCAAGGCAGCGAUCUGUAGCUGGUCUGAGAGGACGAUCAGCCACACUGGGACUGAGACACGGCCCAGACUUCUACGGAAGGCAGCAGUGGGGAAUCUUGCGCUAAUGCGGGAAACCGUGACGCAGCGACGCCGCGUGAGGGAAGAAGGCCUUCGGGUUGUAAACCUCUUUCAGGAGGGACGAAGCUACUCGGGUUAAUAGCCCAGAGGGUGACGGUACCUCCAGAAGAAGCCCCGGCUAACUACGUGCCAGCAGCCGCGGUAAUACGUAGGGGGCAAGCGUUGUCCGGAUUUAUUGGGCGUAAAGAGCGUGUAGGCGGCUUUACAGGUCCGUUGUGAAAACUCGAGGCUCAACCUCGAGACGCCGGUGGAAACCGUAAAGCUAGAGUCCGGAAGAGGAGAGUGGAAUUCCUGGUGUAGCGGUGAAAUGCGCAGAUAUCAGGAGGAACACCCGUGGCGAAAGCGGCUCUCUGGGACGGUACUGACGCUGAGACGCGAAAGCGUGGGGAGCAAACAGGAUUAGAUACCCUGGUAGUCCACGCCGUAAACGAUGGGUGCUAGGUGUGGGCGGUGUCGACUCCGUCCGUGCCGAAGCUAACGCAU
rnacentral:rRNA from 1 species